ACCUACGGGGGGCAGCAGUGGGGAAUAUUGCACAAUGGGGGAAACCCUGAUGCAGCAACGCCGCGUGAGUGAUGACGGCCUUCGGGUUGUAAACCGCUUUCAGUGGGGACGAUGGUGACGGUACCCACAGAAGAAGCUCCGGCUAACUACGUGCCAGCAGCCGCGGUAAUACGUAGGGAGCGAGCGUUAUCCGGAUUCAUUGGGCGUAAAGCGCGCGUAGGCGGCUGCCUAAGCGGAACCUCUAAUCCCGGGG
rnacentral:rRNA from 1 species